rnacentral:lncRNA from 8 species
GGGUAGUGGUAUAAUGGUGGUUGUUGUGUUCCAGAUUGGUCUGAAGGUGGGUGUGAGGGAUUAUGGGUAGUGGUAUAACGGUGGUUGUGUUCCAGAUUGGUCUGAAGGUGGGUGUGAAGGAUUAUGGGUAGUGGUAUAACGGUGGUUGUUGUGUUCCAGAUUGGUCUGAAGGUGGGUGUGAAGGAUUAUGGGUAGUGGUAUAAUGGUGGUUGUUGUGUUCCAGAUUGGUCUGAAGGUGGGUGUGAGGGGUUAUGGGUAGUGGUAUAACGGUGGUUGUUGUGUUCCAGAUUGGUCUGAAGUUGGUGUGAGGGGUUAUGGGUAGUGGUAUAACGGUGGUUGUGUUCCAGAUUGGUCUGAAGGUGGGUGUGAGGGAUUAUGGGUAGUGGUAUAAUGGUGGUUGUUGUGUUCCAGAUUGGUCUGAAGGUGGGUGUGAGGGAUUAUGGGUAGUGGUAUAACGGUGGUUGUUGUGUUCCAGAUUGGUCUGAAGUUGGUGUGAGGGGUUAUGGGUAGUGGUAUAACGGUGGUUGUGUUCCAGAUUGGUCUGAAGGNNNNNNNNNNNNNNNNNNNNGUUCUUCCAGACUCCUCCUGCUGUGAAUAGGAUCCGGACCCUACUGGAGAACAAGCCAGAAUACAUUGGUCUGAAGGUGGGUGUUAGGACGCGGGGCUGUAAUGGUAUGACCUACACUCUGGACUUCACCAAACAGAAGGAUCAGGCUGACGAGGAGGUGCUGCAGGACGGUGUCCGUGUAUUCAUAGAGAAGAAGGCCCAGCUCACUCUGCUGGGGACCGAGAUGGACUUCGUGGAGUCCAAGCUGUCCAGUGAGUUUGUCUUCAACAACCCCAAUAUCAAGGGCACCUGUGGCUGUGGAGAGAGCUUCAACAUCUGAGAGGGCUUCCUGCUGUGGAGAGGGCUUCAACAUCUGAGAGGGCUUCCUGCUGUGGAGAGGGCUUCAACAUCUGAGAGGGCUUCCUGCUGUGGAGAGGGCUUCAACAUCUGAGAGGGCUUCCUGCUGUGGAGAGGGCUUCAACAUCUGAGAGGGCUUCCUGCUGUGGAGAGGGCUUCAACAUCUGAGAGGGCUUCCUGCUGUGGAGAGCUUCAACAUCUGAGAGCUUCAAUAUCUGAGAAAGCUUCCUGCUGUGGCCUGGCCUCCCAACACACACACACCGCCCAACCUCAUCUCUCUCUCUCUCUCUCUUUCUCUCUCUCUGUCUCUCUCUCUCUGUCUCUCUCUCUCUGUCUCUCUCUCUCUGUCUCUCUGUCUGUCUCUCUGUCUGUCUGUCUCUCUCUGUCUGUCUCUCUCUGUGUGUCUCUCUCUGUGUCUGUCUCUCUCUGUGUCUCUCUGUGUCUGUCUCUCUCUGUGUCUGUGUCUCUGUCUCUCUCUCUGUGUCUCUGUCUGUCUCUCUGUGUCUCUGUCUGUGUCUCUGUGUCUCUGUCUCUCUCUCUCAGCCCAUCUCUUCCCUAGCCUAUAGGCCUGUGAGGUGAAUAGAGAACUGGAGAGCAGAAAGAGUAAAGCUGUGGGCCUUGGAACAUGGUGGAGAUCCUUAGACCUUGUAGUUAAACACUGAGCCAAUAGACUUCCCCCUUCUUACACUAAGGAGCACAUAGACACACUAGGGUUCUGACAGGCUAUACUGUAACAGUACCCAGAAGCCUUGGAGAGAGGGGGGCUGAAUAUACAGUAGACAGACAGGAAAUGUUGGUUAGCCAAUGGAACUCGACACAGGAAAUUGUUAUCCGUCCACAUGAUGCAGGGGUUCAGUACGGCGUAACAUUUACACAACAUUCUGAUUUAGAAAUGUGUUUUAUAGAACAUGUAUGAUGUCUUUCAAUCGUAGAAUAGACGGUAAUGUCCGCUCUAUUUGUUACGUUUCUGUGUGCAACUUUGAGAACGUUUCACCUUACUGAGGUUGAAGAGUUCCCGACCGACUGAUUUUGAAGUUUGUAAAUUAUUUUGUUAUACUUGGUUGUUUUGGUGUGUGUGUGUGUGUGUGUGUGUGUGUGUGUGUGUGUGUGUGUGUGUGUGUGUGUGUGUGUGUGUGUGUGUGUGUAUAAAUAAGAAUGUACAAAAACCUGUAUAAACGCACAAAACCAUAUUCCUCACCUAUAGAGGGUUCUUUCCGCUCCAUGCCAGAACAUGUGUUUGACAUGUAUGUAACUAGUGCAAUACGUCUAUGUACAGUUGGUGUGAUGUGUCUACGACUAGAAUAAAUAGGAAAUAUAAAGUGGUUUGUCUUUUUCUCUUCUUUUAACCCUUGUUUUUUUUAACCAGGUAAGUUGACUGACAACACAUUCUCAUUUACAGCAACAGCCUGAGGGAAUAGUUACAGGGGAGGGGAGGAGGGGCCAAUUGGAAGCUGGGGAAGAAGAGGUGACCGUAUGAAGGGCCAGGUUGGUAAUUUAGUCAGGACAUCAGGGUUAACACCCCUACUCUUACAGUAAGUGGCGUGGUAACUUUAGUCACCACAGAGAGUCAGGACACCCGUUUAACAACCCAUCCAAAAGACUGCACCCUACACAGGGCAAUGUCCCCAAUCACUGCCAUGGGGCACUGGGAUAUUUUUUUUUAUUUUGCUCAAAGGAAAGAGUGCCUCCUACUGUCCCUCCAAGACCACUUCCAGCAGCAUCUGGUCUCCCAUCCAGGGACUGACCAGGACCAACCCUGCUUAGCUUCAGAAGCAAUCCAGCAGUGGUAUUAGGGCUGCUGGGGGAGAGAGUAACCUGUAGACAUAUCGACCACUCCAGUAACCUAGCUUAGUUUAAGACUGUAUCUUUUGCAUUUACAGUUGAAGUCGGAAGUUUACAUACACCUUAGCCAAAUACAUUUAAACUCAGUUUUUCACAAUUCCUGACAUUUAAUCCUUGUAAAAAUUCCCUGUCUUAUGUCAGUUAGGAUCACCACUUUAUUUUAAGAAUGUGAAAUGUAAGAAUAAGAGUAGAGAGAAUUAUUUAUUUCAGCUGUUAUUUCUUGCAUCACAUUCCCAGUGGGUCAGAAGUUUACAUACACUCAAUUAGUAUUUGGAAGCAUUGCCUUUAAAUUGUUUAACUUGGGUCAAAUGUUUCGGGUAGCCUUCCACAAACUUCUCACAAUAAGUUGGGUGAAUUUU